rnacentral:rRNA from 1 species
UACGUAGGGUGCGAGCGUUGUCCGGAAUUAUUGGGCGUAAAGAGCUCGUAGGCGGUGUGUCGCGUCGGUCGUGAAAACUUGGGGCUUAACUCUGAGCUUGCGGUCGAUACGGGCAUCACUGGAGUUCGGCAGGGGAGACUGGAAUUCCUGGUGUAGCGGUGAAAUGCGCAGAUAUCAGGAGGAACACCGGUGGCGAAGGCGGGUCUCUGGGCAGUAACUGACGCUGAGGAGCGAAAGCGUGGGGAGCGAACAGG